rnacentral:ncRNA from 1 species
UCCCCGCUUUUCCUCCCUGAGCGGGUGCCUCGAUGUGUGACAGCAAAAAGGCUUCCCAGCCCGACGUCUUUACGUCGGGCUUUUUUUU